rnacentral:rRNA from 1 species
CCUACGGGCGGCUGCAGUGGGGAAUAUUGGACAAUGGGGGGAACCCUGAUCCAGCCAUGCCGCGUGUGUGAAGAAGGCCCUCGGGUUGUAAAGCACUUUCAGUGAGGAAGAACGCCUGGUGGUUAAUACCCAUCAGGAAAGACAUCACUCACAGAAGAAGCACCGGCUAACUCCGUGCCAGCAGCCGCGGUAAUACGGAGGGUGCGAGCGUUAAUCGGAAUUACUGGGCGUAAAGCGCGCGUAGGUGGCUUGAUAAGCCGGUUGUGAAAGCCCCGGGCUCAACCUGGGAACGGCAUCCGGAACUGGCAAGCUAGAGUGCAGGAGAGGAAGGUAGAAUUCCCGGUGUAGCGGUGAAAUGCGUAGAGAUCGGGAGGAAUACCAGUGGCGAAGGCGGCCUUCUGGACUGACACUGACACUGAGGUGCGAAAGCGUGGGUAGCAAACAGGAUUAGAUACCCUGGUAGUC